CAGCAGUAGCCACGGUAAUACGUAGGGUGCAAGCGUUAAUCGGAAUUACUGGGCGCAAAGCGUGCGCAGGCGGUUCGUUAAGACAGAUGUGAAAUCCCCGGGCUUAACCUGGGAACUGCAUUUGAGACUGUAUGGCUAGAGUGUGUCAGAGGGGGGUAGAACUCCACGUGUAGCAGUGAAAUGCGUAGAUAUGUGGAGGAAUACCGAUGGCGAAGGCAGCCCCCUGGGAUAACACUGACGCUCAUGCACGAAAGCGUGGGGAGCAAACAGGAUUAGAUACCCCCGUAGUCCCUGUCUCUUAUAC
rnacentral:rRNA from 1 species